rnacentral:rRNA from 1 species
CGACCGGCGCACGGGUGAGUAACGCGUAUCCAACCUGCCCUUUACUAUGGGACAGCCCGUCGAAAGGCGGAUUAAUACCGUAUGUUGUCAUGUUGAUGCAUAUUUUCAUGACCAAAGGCUUCGGCCGGUAAAGGAUGGGGAUGCGUCUGAUUAGCUUGCCGGCGGGGUAACGGCCCACCGGGGCGACGAUCAGUAGGGGUUCUGAGAGGAAGGUCCCCCACACUGGAACUGAGACACGGUCCAAACUCCUACGGGAGGCAGCAG